GAGAGUCAGCACAGAGCUGGAUGUCAGUUAAAGUAACUGGACGCAGUUCAUCUCCUGUGUGGUUGAUGGUUGGACUGGUUUGUGGAGUCUCUCUCAUUAUUAUUCUCCUGCUCUUGUUGUAUCGCUGCAGACAGUCCAAGUAUUCCUGCUUCACCAGGUCGAUCCAGUCUGAGAGUCACAGUCCGGGCUCCUCCACAAAUCAUGGAGUCAACCAG